AAGUCGUAACAAGGUUUCCGUAGGUGAACCUGCGGAAGGAUCAUUAACACGUAUCCAACGUUAAAACAACCCUGUGAACCUUCAAUCUUGCUCGCGUGGCUACAUGAAAGCAGCAAUCCCUGGUAAAUCAUUGUCGACCAGAUUUUGAGUCAGGGACCUCUGCCGAUGAGAGUUACGCUCGUAGCGAUGCAAGCGACCUGGCACCCCCAAGCAAUCAGAGUUCUGAAAGCGUCAGGGAUCAAUGUUCAGGGUGGCGCAGUCAACGAUCGCUGUAGGUCCACACGACCGGCGACCGGGGUGGAGGCGAAAGCCCCUACGUCAUCCCUAUGUACCCUCCGGGACUUGGCGAAAGCUGACUCCGUCAUAAAUCGAACAACUGUUAUCUUGGUUCUC
rnacentral:misc_RNA from 1 species